CUUUUUUUUCUCCCUCUUUCCAAGACAAACUAGAUAAGAUGCAGAUUGGAUCAGGCGAAGAUGUGAAUGACCUCAACUAUGAUUAUGACAAUGAACAGUGCGUAGCACGUGGUGGAAAUUAAUGGAUGGGAUGGUGGACGGCGGAAGGGAUAAUGAUGCAGCGGCGGCGUGACUAAUGUGAACAGAACUCGAAACUCUAAAGGAACUAGACACUAAGACCAGCAACUAACACGACGAUGCAACCGAUAAUUCAACUAUGCAAGCAAUGAAUAGAAAAUUGCAUAGGCUCAGACUGGCUUGGAUAAAUGAUGAACAGAUCUAACUUUUUUAUGGAUUUUUCAUGGACUGUAGGUAUGAAUGACAGAUGCGAUCUAAACUAUGAAAAACUGUAAAAUCUCACCGAGCAACCUGAAAACUGAUACCACUUGAUAGAGGCGAGGGUCCCGAUCUUUCGAUGAGAUGAUAACUAUCGAUUUGGUGGAGACAACUUUGACAAUCCGACUACAAACGUGCACGACGUUGCGCCUUAGCAAUCGCUAAACCAAUCUCCUGAGGUUACUGACGAUGCUGGAAGCACGGUCAGCCUGACCACGAAGGUCUAUUCCUGCAAGCAAUCGAAGAACGAGCAAGAAUAUGAUAAAGCAAUCUGAAUAUUGCAAAUAUAUAUGAAGUAUUGAUAAUGGUGGGGAUCCGGAAGCGGUCUUGGUCUGACCGUUGGACACAAACGAAGUACACGAAGUUGCAAUGGCUAACUUUUAACUAAACAAAUCCCAAGAAAAAGCUACUAGAUGGAUCUACUUAUAUAGGAGCAAGGGGUGGCGGCCAAGGAGGUGGGAGGAUGUCCCAAGGCAGCCUAAAACUAAAUCUAGGUCGUACAAGGCCAAUGGGCCCAAGUGGAGGUGAUGUAACACCUUUGGACUUGUAGUUUGACUCGGAUUCUGCUGCAGCAUCAGAUUGUUUUGUCCACAACUCAACGCUCCGGACGAAUUUGAAGGUGAUUCCAAUUGGGUUGGAAAGUGCACGAAAUCUAGUUUCCAAAAAAAAGAAUCACCCAAUUCGGAGUCCGUAUGAAAAACUUGUGUGCGUUUUGAGUCAGGUAUGUCUGUGCAGUCCGAAUCUGAAUCCAGAACGUGAGAGACUUGGACUCUAUCUUCUCUUGGGCCAAAAGUGACGUGAGAGAACUUUUUGGACAGCAAAUAAACAUCUCUUUCUUCCUUAUCUUCAUAUGUGGAUUGUACAAAUGUCCCAUACACCUGCAAUUAGACAAAACAUAAAAGUGUGUGAAGUAUUUUUGUUCUGGAUAACAUAAAUAGAUUAUUGAAUAGUUUGCACUAGAAAUCACCUCACAAAUAUGCAUAUAUGCAAUAUUUUUGGUCAUAUCCAAGGUAGUCAUGUCCUCAUCAUCCUCCCCUUCUUGAAAAUAAAGCCGUCCUCGGCGUUGCUUAAUCUGAAAUGUGGCUAACAAAAGAGACAAGGUGUACAUGUUGUAUAUGUAUAUGUCAUCCAUUUUUACUUCCCUUAAUUUUUGCAUAUAUGACACAUGAAUAGAUGAGUAACUUGCAUAGUUCAUAAAAUCUAAAGCCAAAAAAUUAGCACAAGAAGUAGAAGGCAUGAAAAUAUUGCAACUCAGUUUGCACAUAUAAGUGAAGCUCUUAUUCAUUUCAAAAGAUUGACAAUGUUCAUCAUUAAACCAUCCCAACAUUGGUGAAUAAACCUUACUUGCAUCAAAUUUACAUGCUACAACAUGCUUAAAUAAGCAAACAUGCAAUAAGUCAUUCAACACAGAAUCAUCACCAAGAUUAGAGGUCAUAUCAAAAUGAUUAAACAUUGGUUCUUCUGCAUCAAUAGUUAAUUCAAUGGGUGCACUCAAAAUUGUUGGUAUUUCAGUUGUUUGAUCACAUGGCAAAGUCAAAUUAUCAACGUAGUCCUCUAAAAUAGGUGGUGUGAUCAAAGUAGUGGGUAGCUCAUCAGAUGGUGCAUUCAAAUUGACAAGGCAUUCAUCAUUCUCAUGUAGAGAUGGAAGAUCAGUACCUUUGUCAUUACCUCUUAUGAUCAACUCAGAUGAUGUAGCCACUCUCGGGGGCGGUGUGUCACAUGGCGUAGGUGAUGAAAUAAAGCCGUCCUCGGCGUUGCUUAAUCUGAAAUGUGGCUAACAAAAGAGACAGGGUCUACAUGUUGUAUAUGUAUAUGUCAUCCAUUUUUACUUCCCUUGAUUUUUGCAUAUAUGACACAUGAAUAGAUGAGUAACUUGCAUAGUUCAUAAAAUCUAAAGCCAAAAAAUUAGCACAAGAAGUAGAAGGCAUGAAAAUAUUGCAACUCAGUUUGCACAUAUAAGUGAAGCUCUUAUUCAUUUCAAAAGAUUGACAAUGUUCAUCAUUAAACCAUCCCAACAUUGGUGAAUAAACCUUACUUGCAUCAAAUUUACAUGCUACAACAUGCUUAAAUAAGCAAACAUGCAAUAAGUCAUUCAAAACAGAAUCAUCACCAAGAUUAGAGGUCAUAUCAAAAUGAUUAAACAUUGGUUCUUUUGCAUCAAUAGUUAAUUCAAUGGGUGCACUCAAAAUUGUUGGUAUUUCAGUUGUUUGAUCACAUGGCAAAGUCAAAUUAUCAACGUAGUCCUCUAAAAUAGGUGGUGUGAUCAAAGUAGUGGGUAGCUCAUCAGAUGGUGCAUUCAAAUUGACAAGGCAUUCAUCAUUCUCAUGUAGAGAUGGAAGAUCAGUACCUUUGUCAUUACCUCUUAUGAUCAACUCAGAUGAUGUAGCCACUCUCGGGGGCGAUGUGUCACAUGGUGGAGGUGAUGUAGUCCUAACAACAACGGAUGUGGUUGUCAUAGUAUGCCUAGUAGUUGAAGGAACAAUCAUAUCAACUCUUGGAAUGUGCACCGUGCGCUUGUUCUCCUCAUGGCCAACACGUCGUUUUAUUUCCUGUUCAGCUUUGCAAGCAAGAUGAAACAAAUAGUCCAUAGGAUAACACUCUUCAUGAAUUAGUAUCUCUUGAAUAUGACGGUUUAAUCCUCCCCAAAAUCUAUCCAUAAAAUCAUCUUCACUUUCUUCUAAAGAGGAAUGCAACAAGGUAGUUUGUAAAUCAUCAUAAUAUUUUGUUACAGUUUCACUACCUUGUUUUAAGUGUUGCAACUUCUUAAUCAUGUCACGAGUAUAAUAAGCAGGGACGAAAGUAUGUCGCAUGGCAAGUUUCAAAUCAUCCCAAGUAGUAGGUAUAUAAUCAGGGUGUAACCGACAAUAUUCACUCCACCAAACCAAAGCAUAACCAGUGAAAGAACCAACCGCAACCUUAACCUUUUUAUGUUCAUCGAAAUUAUGGGAAGCAAAUAUAUUUUUUAUGUCGAACUCCCAUUCAAUAUAUAAAGCAGGUUUAAAACGGCCAUUAAAUGGUGGUAUAGAUACAUUAACCUGAUCAUGUGCAUUUGGAUGUUUGUGCACCUCUCGUGAUGGUUGUGGUAUUUGCAAAGGUGGUGAUCCAGAAGCGGUCUUGGUCUGGUCGUUGGACACAAACGAAGCACACGAAGUUGCAAUGGCUAACUUUUAACUAAACAAAUCCCAAGGAAAAGCUACUAGAUGGAUCUACUUAUAUAGGAGCAAGGGGUGGCGGCCAAGGAGGUGGGAGGACGUCCCAAGGCAGCCUAAAACUAAAUCUAGGUCGUACAAGGCCAAUGGGCCCAAGUGGAGGUGAUGUAACACCUUUGGACUUGUAGUUUGACUCGGAUUCUGCUGCAGCAUCAGAUUGUUUCGUCCACAACUCAACGCUCCGGACGAAUUUGAAGGUGCUUCCAAUUGGGUUGGAAAGUGCACGAAAUCUAGUUUCCAACAAAAAAAGAAUCACCCAAUUCGGAGUCCGUAUGAAAAACUUGUGUGCGUUUUGAGUCAGGUAUGUCUGUGCAGUCCGAAUCUGAAUCCAGAACGUGAGAGACUUGGACUCUAUCUUCUCUUGGGCCAAAAGUGACGUGAGAGAACUUUUUGGACAGCAAAUAAACAUCUCUUUCUUCCUUAUCUUCAUAUGUGGAUUGUACAAAUGUCCCAUACACCUGCAAUUAGACAAAACACAAAAGUGUGUGAAGUAUUUUUGUUCUGGAUAACAUAAAUAGAUUAUUGAAUAGUUUGCACUAGAAAUCACCUGACAAAUAUGCAUAUAUGCAAUAUUUUUGGUCAUAUCCAAGGUAGUCAUGUCCUCAUCAUCCUCCCCUUCUUGAAAAUAAAGCCGUCCUCGGCGUUGCUUAAUCUGAAAUGUGGCUAACAAAAGAGACAAGGUGUACAUGUUGUAUAUGUAUAUGUCAUCCAUUUUUACUUCUCUUGAUUUUUGCACAUAUGACACAUGUAUACAUGAGUAACUUUCAUAUAUCAUAAAAUAUAAAGGCAAAAUAUUAUCAUAAGUAGAAGGCAUGAAAAUAUUGCAACUCAGUUUGCACAUAUAAGUGAAGCUCUUAUUCAUUUCAAAAGAUUGACAAUGUUCAUCAUUAAACCAUCCCAACAUUGGUGAAUAAACCUUACUUGCAUCAAAUUUACAUGCUACAACAUGCUUAAAUAAGCAAACAUGCAAUAAGUCAUUCAACACAGAAUCAUCACCAAGAUUAGAGGUCAUAUCAAAAUGAUUAAACAUUGGUUCUUUUGCAUCAAUAGUUAAUUCAAUGGGUGCACUCAAAAUUGUUGGUAUUUUAGUUGUUUGAUCACAUGGCAAAGUCAAAUUAUCAACGUAGUCCUCUAAAAUAGGUGGUGUGAUCAAAGUAGUGGGUAGCUCAUCAGAUGGUGCAUUCAAAUUGACAAGGCAUUCAUCAUUCUCAUGUAGAGAUGGAAGAUCAGUACCUUUGUCAUUACCUCUUAUGAUCAACUCAGAUGAUGUAGCCACUCUCGGGGGCGAUGUGUCACAUGGUGGAGGUGAUGUAGUCCUGACAACAACGGUUUUGGUUGUCAUAGUAUGCCUAGUAGUUGAAGGAACAAUCAUAUCAACUCUUGGAAUGUGCACCGUGCGCUUGUUCUCCUCGUGGCCAACACGUCGUUUUAUUUCCUGUUCAGCUUUGCAAGCAAGAUGAAACAAAUGGUCCAUAGGAUAACACUCUUCAUGAAUUAGUAUCUCUUGAAUAUCACGGUUUAAUCCUCCCCAAAAUCUAUCCAUAAAAUCAUCUUCACUUUCUUCUAAAGAGGAAUGCAACAAGGUAGUUUGUAAAUCAUCAUAAUAUUUUGUUACAGUUUCACUACCUUGUUUUAAGUGUUGCAACUUCUUAAUCAUGUCACGAGUAUAAUAAGCAGGGACGAAAGUAUGUCGCAUGGCAAGUUUCAAAUCAUCCCAAGUAGUAGGUAUAUAAUCAGGGUGUAACCGACAAUAUUCACUCCAUCAAACCAAAGCAUAACCAGUGAAAGAACCAACCGCAACCUUAACCUUUUUAUGUUCAUCGAAAUUAUGGGAAGCAAAUAUAUUUUUUAUGUCGAACUCCCAUUCAAUAUAUAAAGCAGGUUUAAAACGGCCAUUAAAUGGUGGUAUAGAUACAUUAACCUUAUCAUGUGCAUUUGGAUGUUUGUGCACCUCUCGUGACUUUGCAAAGGUGGUGGCACGUCUCCCGCGAUCGACAAAGCCCAUGAAUUGACUCUGGAUCCUGUCAUGAUUAGUAGAACAAGAAACAAAACCCAAAAAUAAUGUUCCUAUAACUACUAGGAUGUGGUGGUAAAACGCUCACAGUAAAGCAAAUAUCAAUGUCUUACAAGUUCUUACCAUGCAGCAGGCGGUGAUCGGCAACCAGCGGUGUCAAGUAACUCCGAAUAUUAAGUAAAGCGAUUGCCAGGGGAGCGUACGUAUACACGGUGUAGAAAUAUGUGGAGCUGGGUUGGCUAUAUAUGGUAGCAAAAGAUUAGCAAUAAUCAAUUCAAAGAUGCAAUGUUGAAUAAACGCUCAACGACGGUACUGUGCUGGUCCUAGGCUAGACCGGAUUAGAGACGCGAGCCUAGAACACUAAUGAGGUCACGGCGUAGCACAACUAGCAUCAAUGAAGGAUACUAAGUAGCUCUGGACAGCAAGAUAUAAGUGAAGAUCACAACGGCAGUAAAGAUAAUGAUGAAAAACAACUGUCAAACAGGAUAUACAACAACUCUCUCUCCAACUUUCCUCUUGAAAAGUUUGAGACAAUUUUCUGAUAAAUUCUUUCAAAGAAUGCUACUAACUCAAGCUUUCCAAUGCAAAAAGAAUCACUCAAUUCCGAGUUGAUAUGAGGAGUCAAAGAAUUCUAAAACUGGCCUAAAAAAUUGGAACAAGCUGCGUUCACGAACUUCAGAGGGCAAAAAGACCUAUUUAGAAGCCGAUUUUGAGGUGUCAAAUAUUGAACUAGCUUAUGCAACUAUUUAGAUGCGGCUCGUCGCUAGCUUCAAUUUGAGUACUCACGGAGCCAAAACGGACUUCGUAUGAGGAAGAUACACCUGUUUUACUGAACAGUGCGCAAAACAGAUUCCAAUCCGAAUUCAGGUACGAGAUUGAUUCUAGAUAGAUCCGAUUUUUUUUCUUCUCUUUUUUUUUCUCACGCUUUUUUUUUCUUUUUCUUCUCUCUCUUUUUCUUUUUUUUCCUCUUUUUUUUUCCUCUAUCUUUUUUUUCUCCCUCUUUCCAAGACAAACUAGAUAAGAUGCAGAUUGGAUCAGGCGAAGAUGUGAAUGACCUCAACUAUGAUUAUGACAAUGAACAGUGCGUAGCACGCGGUGGAAAUUAAUGGAUGGGAUGGUGGACAGCGGAAGGGAUAAUGAUGCAGCGGCGGCGUGACUAAUGUGAACAGAACUCAAAACUCUAAAGGAACUAGACACUAAGACCAGCAAC
rnacentral:lncRNA from 1 species